AUGAGUGUGAUGUGCGUCCUCAUCUGGACUCUCCUCUGCUGCUGCUUCACAGAGUCCAGAGGACAGGUCACAGUGACUCAGCCUGGAGCAGUGAGCUCUGCUGUGGGAGGAACUGUCUCCAUCUCAUGUAGAACCAGUCAGGAUGUUUAUGUUUAUAAAAGCAAUCACUGUUUAUCCUGGUACCAACAGAAAGAUGGAAAAUCUCCUAAACUACUCAUUUACUGGGCUAGCACUCGACAAUCAGGGAUUCCAAGUCGUUUUACAGGCAGUGGAUCAAACUCUGAUUUCACUCUGACCAUCAGUGGAAUUCAGGCUGAAGAUGCAGCAGUUUAUUACUGUCAGAGUUUUCACUACAUCAACAGUAUAAAUAUGUGGACUUUUGGUGGAGGAACCAGACUGGAAGUUGACUUGGGUCAUGUGCCCCCCUCCCUGACAGUGCUGGCCCCCUCCAUGGAGGAGCUGCAGCAGGGGGAGGCCACACUCAUGUGUGUGGCCAACAAGGGCUUCCCCUCAGACUGGACUCUGUCCUGGAAGGUGGUCGGCAGCAGCAGCAGGGAGGAGAGCAGGAGCCCCGGGGUGCUGCAGAAGGACGGCCUCUACAGCUGGAGCAGCACCCUGAGGCUCUCUGCAGACCAGUGGGAGAAGGUGACCUGUGAGGCCAAGAGAGGAUCCCAGACUCCAGUCUCAGAGACUCUCAGGAGAGACCAGUGCUCCCAGUCCUGAACUCAGACACUGACAGAAAUCUGCUUUCUGUGCACUUCUUCUUUAUUCUCUUUCUAUUGUUACAGUUUAACUUUGAAGAAAAAUCUGCUAAUAAAAAUGACAUUUGCCAACUGA